rnacentral:rRNA from 1 species
UCUUUUCCUUUUGUGCCCGCAGCCGCGGUAAUACGGAGGAUGCGAGCGUUAUCCGGAUUUAUUGGGUUUAAAGGGAGCGCAGACGGGUCGUUAAGUCAGCUGUGAAAGUUUGGGGCUCAACCUUAAAAUUGCAGUUGAUACUGGCGUCCUUGAGUGCGGUUGAGGUGUGCGGAAUUCGUGGUGUAGCGGUGAAAUGCUUAGAUAUCACGAAGAACUCCGAUUGCGAAGGCAGCACACUAAUCCGUAACUGACGUUCAUGCUCGAAAGUGUGGGUAUCAAACAGG